AGAUGAACGCUGGCGGUAUGCUUAACACAUGCAAGUCGAACGGCGGCACAGGGUAGCUUGCUAUCCGGGUGGCGAGUGGCGGACGGGUGAGUAACGCGUAGGAAUCUACCUUUUCGUGGGGGAUAACCCGGGGAAACUCGGGCUAAUACCGCAUACGCCCUACGGGGGAAAGCGGGGGACCUUCGGGCCUCGCGCGGAACGAUGAGCCUGCGUCCUAUCAGGUAGUUGGUGAGGUAAUGGCUCACCAAGCCGACGACGGGUAGCUGGUCUGAGAGGACGACCAGCCACACUGGGACUGAGACACGGCCCAGACUCCUACGGGAGCAGCAGUGGGGAAUAUGGACAAUGGGGAAACCCUGAUCCAGCAAUACCGCGUGUGUGGAAGAAGGCCUUACGGUUGUAAAGCUACGUUUUAGACCGAGGAAAGAAAGAUUAGUAGCGUUAAUACCGCAAUUGGUUUGACGUUACUUGACUAAGAAAAAGCGACCGACUAACCGUCCGUCGCC
rnacentral:rRNA from 1 species